GAUGAACGCUGGCGACGUGCCUAAUACAUGCAAGUCGAACGAAACUUCUUUAUCACCGAGUGCUUGCACUCACCGAUAAAGAGUUGAGUGGCGAACGGGUGAGUAACACGUGGGCAACCUGCCCAAAAGAGGGGGAUAACACUUGGAAACAGGUGCUAAUACCGCAUAACCAUAGUUACCGCAUGGUAACUAUGUAAAAGGUGGCUAUACUACCGCUUUUGGAUGGGCCCGCGGCGCAUUAGCUAGUUGGUAGGGUAAAGGCUUACCAAGGCAAUGAUGCGUAGCCGAAUUGAGAGGUUGAUCGGCCACAUUGGGACUGAGACACGGCCCAAACUCCUACGGGAGGCAGCAGUAGGGAAUCUUCCACAAUGGGCGAAAGCCUGAUGGAGCAACGCCGCGUGGGUGAAGAAGGUCUUCGGAUCGUAAAACCCUGUUGUUAGAGAAGAAAGUGCGUGAGAGUAACUGUUCACGUUUCGACGGUAUCUAACCAGAAAGCCACUGCUAACUACGUG
rnacentral:rRNA from 1 species